GAAAGAGAGGCGGAGAAGACGAAGGAAUAUUGGGCGAAUAUUCUAGUGGGGAAAAAGGAUAUUCGCCCAAUAUUCCUUUGUCUUCUCCGCCUCUCUUUCUCCU
rnacentral:miRNA from 1 species